rnacentral:rRNA from 1 species
GGUGAACGCUGGCGGCGUGCUUAAGACAUGCAAGUCGAACGAUCGUCUUCGGACGGUCGUGGCGCACGGGUGCGUAACGCGUAACUGACCUGCCCUCAAGUUCCGAAUAACCUUCCGAAAGGAGGGCUAAUACGGGAUGUGCUGUCCCCUCCUGUGGGGCCAGUAAAGGCUUGACCGCUUGGGGAUGGGGUUGCGUUCCAUCAGCUAGCCGGUCGGGUAAAGGCCUACCAUGGCACCGACGGAUAACCGGCCGGAGAGGGUGGCCGGUCACAGGGGCACUGAGACACGGGUCGCACUCCUACGGGAGGCAGGAGUUAGGAGUCUUCCCCGAUGGACGAGAGUCUGAGGGAGCGACGCAGGGUGAGGGAUGAAGGUUUUCGGAUGGUAAGCCUCUGAAUCAGGGACGAAAGGCACGGAAGCGGGAUGACGUAGCCGGAGUAAUAGCACCGGCUAACUACGUG